CAGCCCCUCGAGUGGUGGGGAUGAUUAUUUGGCCUAAAGCGUCCGUAGCCGGCCGGGUAAGUUUCCCGCUAAAUCCAGCGUCUCAAGCGUUGGACUGCGGGAAAUACUGCCUGGCUAGAGAGUGGGAGAGGUCAGCGGUAUUCUGGGGGUAGGGGCGAAAUCCUUUGAUCCCCGGAGGACCACCAGUGGCGAAGGCUGCUGACUAGAACACGUCUGACGGUCAGGGACGAAAGCUGGGGUAGCGAACCGGAUUAGAUACCCGAGUAGUCC
rnacentral:rRNA from 1 species